rnacentral:rRNA from 1 species
GACGAACGCUGGCGGCGUGCCUAAUACAUGCAAGCUGAGCGCUGAAGGUUGGUACUUGUACCAACUGGAUGAGCAGCGAACGGGUGAGUAACGCGUGGGGAAUCUGCCUUUGAGCGGGGGACAACAUUUGGAAACGAAUGCUAAUACCGCAUAAAAACUUUAAACACAAGUUUUAAGUUUGAAAGAUGCAAUUGCAUCACUCAAAGAUGAUCCCGCGUUGUAUUAGCUAGUUGGUGAGGUAAAGGCUCACCAAGGCGAUGAUACAUAGCCGACCUGAGAGGGGAUCCGCCACAUUGGGACUGAGACACGGCCCAAACUCCUACGGGAGGCAGCAGUAGGGAAUCUUCGGCAAUGGACGAAAGUCUGACCGAGCAACGCCGCGGGAGUGAAGAAGGUUUUCGGAUCGUAAAACUCUGUUGGUAGAGAAGAACGUUGGUGAGAGUGGAAAGCUCAUCAAGUGACGGUAACUACCCAGAAAGGGACGGCUAACUACGUG